AUAGCGAUUUUGCUUUCAGUAUGUACCUUGCUACGCAAAGUUUGGUCCGUGGACUGGCAACAUAACAUCACCUAGGAACUUAGAACAUCCAGCCCCACUUGAGAACCUGAAUCAGCAUCUGCAUUGUAACAAGAUUCCCAGAUGAUUUGUGUGAACUUUGGAGUUUGAGAAGCACCAGUUUAUUAGCCUCCAGGAUGGACAGGAUUCUCCCAAGGUCACACAUGAGUCAGUGGACUGUCAGUGAUACAGAAUCUGCCGCUUUUGCCGAGCCAGCAUCUGUCUUCAUGACCAGCUGCAGCACCUCAGCUUUCCUUUUGGAACUACAUCUCAGCUGCUUCCAGUCCAAACAGUUUCAGGGGGCUGACCUUAUAUUCCACCCACCUAGAAGAUGGCUGUAUGAUCCACAUCUAGCCAAUCCCAUUUUUCAUCCUCUGCUUGCUGUGAUCGGUUCAAGGGUGAGAAUGUGACCCAAGCCAGGCCAAAGGCAUUCAAAGUCAUGAGUUUUCAUGGAACCCUAGGGAAGGAGAAACCCUUGCUGGUAGAAUGGAUGUUGUGUGGGUGUCAUCUUGGAGUUGCUGGUGGCUGUGGAUGCAGUGAGAGAGACUGUGCCAGUGAAUGGGACCACCCCAAGGCAUUCAGCGGGACUGAUUCAGCAGGACAUACUACAAGAACGUGAGCCAUUGGACCUGACACCUCCAACCCCACUCUUCAACUUGUCUCUUUUCUGCCUGCAGGGAGCGCUGUCACCAGUGAACUGUGAGUGAGGCGCGGCCUGCAGUUCCGGGACUGUCCACAGGGGGGCCAAGCCCACCUCGCUGACCCACGGCGCAUGCGCAUUCCACCUGGGACUUGGCUCUGCGCGCCUGAAAGGAAUUCUGUUGCCUCAGGCACCCGCUUGGGCCUGGGAUGCCUCGCUGACAGCGUCUCUGCCAACAGGAGCUCAGUCUCCUUAGGGCUCGCUGGGGUUCAGCUUCAGAACAACACAGGACUGUGUCCAUGCAGACUGGAGCUGAGUUUCCUUACGACCGGGAGGAAAAGGUCAUCCACAACACGGAAGAAAGUGGCUCCUAAUAUAAUCUUCUCACAGUGCCUCUAAAUUACGUGUGGACUUUGGGUGAACUGGAUCUGGCUUGUGAGAUCUUGGUUCCCAGGCCAGAAGUCAGGCCUGAGCUUCUGUGGUAAGAGCACAGAGUCCAAACUGCUUGACUACCAGAGAACCUGAGACCCCAGGGAAUAUUAAUCAGAGUGAGGUCUCCAAGAGGGUCCUCAUCUCAGCACCAAGACCCAGCUCUACCCAACUGCCUGCAAACUCCAGUGCUGGAAGCCUCAGGCCGAACAAACAGUAAAACAGGAACACGGUCCCACCCAUCAAAAAAACAGACAACAAACUAUGUUACAGAUGAAGGAGCAAGGUAACCUACCUGAAAAAGAAUUCAGAGUAAUGAUAGUAAAGAUGAUCCAAAAUCUCAGAAAUAGAAUGGAGGCACAGAUCAAGGUCUUUAACAAAGACCUAGAAGAACUAAAGAACAAACAAACGAGAUAUUAGUCAAACUAACAAAAAUUAAAUUCAAAGAAAAAAUAUUAAAAGCAGCAAGGGAAAAGAAGAAAAUAACAUACAAGGGAAUUCCCAUAAGGUUAUCAGCUGAUUUCUCAGCAGAAACUCUGCAGGCCAGAGGGAGUGGCAGGAUGUAUUUAAAGCCAUGAAAGGGAAAAACGUACAACCAAGAUCUCUCUACCCAGCAAGGCUCUCAUCCAGAUUUGACGGAGAAAUCAAAAGCUUUACAGACAAGCAAAAGCUAUGAGAAUUCACCACCACCAAACCAGCUUUACAACAAAUGCUAAAGGAUCAUCUCUAGGCAGGAAACACAAAAGAAAAAGACCCACAAAAAUCCAAAACAAUUAAGAAAAUGGUAAUACGAAUAUACAUAUCAAUAAUUACCUUAAAUGUAAAUGGAUUAAAUGCUCCAACCAAAAGACAGAGACUGGCUGAAUGGAUACAGAAACAGGACCCAUAUAUAUGUUGUCUACAAGAAACUCACCUCACACCUAGGGACACAUGCAGACUGAAAGUUGAGGGGAUGGAAAGAGAUAUGCCAUGCAAAUUGAAAUCACAAGAAAGCUGGAGUAGCAGUACUCAUCAGAUGAAAGAGAUUUUAAAAUAAAGACGGUUACAAGAGAUAAGGAAGGACACUACAUAAUGCUCAAGGGAUCAAUCCAAGAGGAAAAUAAAGCAAUUACAAGUAUUUAUGCAUCCAACAUAGGAGCACCUCAAUACAUAAGGCAAGUGCUUAUAGCCAUAAAAGGGGAAAUUGACAGUACCACAAUAAUAGUGGGGGACUUUUAACCCCCACUUACACUAAUAGAUCAUCCAUACAGAAAAUAAGGAAACACAAGCUUUAAAUGACACAACAGACCAGAUAGAUUUAAUGGAUAUUUACAGGACCUUCCACCCAAAAGUGGAAAUACACUUUUUUCUCAAGUGCUCACGGAAUGUUCUCCAGGAUAGAUCACAUCUUGGGUCACAAAUCAAGCCUUGGUAAAUUUAAGAAAACUGAAAAUGUAUCAAGUAUAUUUUCCAACCACAACACUAUGAGAUUAGAAAUCAAUUACAGGAAAAAAAUUAAAAACACACACAUGGAGGCUAAACACUGCACUGCUAAAUAACCAAGAGAUCGCUCAAGAAAUCAAAGAGGAAAUAAAAAAUACAUAGAAAUAAAUGACAAAGUAUGACAACCCAAAACCUAUAGGACACAGCAAAAGCAGUUCUAGGAGGGAAGUUUAUAGCAAUUUAGUCUCACCUCAAGAAACAAGAAACAAGAAAAAUCUCAAACAAUCUAACCUUAUACCUAAAGCAACCAGAGAAGAAGAAAACCCAAAGUCAGUAGAAGGAAAGAAAUCAUAAAGAUCAGAGCAGAAAUAAAUGAAACAGAAUGGAAGAAAAUAAUAGCAAGGUCAAAAAAACUAAAAGUUGGUUCUUUAGGAAGGUAAACAAAAUUGAUAAACCAUUAGCCAGACUCAUCAAGAAGAAAAGGGAGAGGACUCGAGUAAAAUUAGAAAUGAAAAAGGAGAAGUUACAACAGACACUGCAGAAAUACAAGGAUCAUAAGAGACUACUACAAGGAACUAUAUGCCAAUAAAAU